UCCACAAUGGCCGGGUCAACGAGUGCGUCGUCCUAGACCUCUACUCCUUCAGCACACUGAUCCGGGGCUGCGGCCAGGUGAUCUGGAGCGUGCAUGGAAGGUGUUCGAUGAACUUACCUAACAGGCAGAAACCCGGAUGAGGGAAGGGCUCUGUGGUAGAUCGAUCAAGGGAACAUAUUAUUUGAGCAGUGAAAAAGAAAAUGAAGGAACAGAUGGAUGAUUUUCAGGUAUUG